GCCCGCUUAGCUCAGAGGUUAGAGCAUCGCAUUUGUAAU
rnacentral:tRNA from 1 species